AUUGAACGCUGGCGGCAGGCCUAACACAUGCAAGUCGAACGAGUGGCGGACGGGUGAGUAAUGUAUGGGAAACUGCCCGAUGGAGGGGGAUAACUACUGGAAACGGUAGCUAAUACCGCAUACCAUCAGAUGUGCCCAGAUGGGAUUAGCUAGUUGGUGGGGUAAAGGCUCACCAAGGCGACGAUCCCUAGCUGGUCUGAGAGGAUGACCAGCCACACUGGAACUGAGACACGGUCCAGACUCCUACGGGAGGCAGCAGUGGGGAAUAUUGCACAAUGGGCGCAAGCCUGAUGCAGCCAUGCCGCGUGUAUGAAGAAGGCCUUAGGGUUGUAAAGUACUUUCAGCGGGGAGGCGUUACCCGCAGAAGAAGCACCGGCUAACUCCGUGCCAGCAGCCGCGGUAAUUC
rnacentral:rRNA from 1 species